rnacentral:misc_RNA from 1 species
AUUUGUUUCUUAUGACUUAUGAGUGGUAUUAUAGAACUGUGUAUGUGAACCAUUUAUAGGUUAAUAAACACUUAAAUCUGACUGUACACAUGUACUUUGAUGCUGUUAGAGACUUGCUUGCAAACAAAUGCAGAAUGUAUGAGGAUAGAAGUGUAGGAUUCGCUUAUCUAGGUAAACAGAAAAAAAUCUAGUUUCUUUUCUGAAAUAUUUCAUGUCAAUUAAGUAAAAUAAAGUUGAAUCCCUUUAUACAUCAAAAUGAUGAGGGCUAUGUUUAUAAUCAAGUAAGCAAAUAUGUCAUGUUACAG